GUAACAGCGCUAAGGGGGGUGCCUAAUACUUGCAUGUCGAGCGGACAGAUGGGAGCUUGCUCCCUGAUGUUAGCGGCGGACGGGUGAGUAACACGUGGGUAACCUGCCUGUAAGACUGGGAUAACUCCGGGAAACCGGGGCUAAUACCGGAUGGUUGUUUGAACCGCAUGGUUCAGACAUAAAAGGUGGCUUCGGCUACCACUUACAGAUGGACCCGCGGCGCAUUAGCUAGUUGGUGAGGUAACGGCUCACCAAGGCAACGAUGCGUAGCCGACCUGAGAGGGUGAUCGGCCACACUGGGACUGAGACACGGCCCAGACUCCUACGGGAGGCAGCAGUAGGGAAUCUUCCGCAAUGGACGAAAGUCUGACGGAGCAACGCCGCGUGAGUGAUGAAGGUUUUCGGAUCGUAAAGCUCUGUUGUUAGGGAAGAACAAGUGCCGUUCAAAUAGGGCGGCACCUUGACGGUACCUAACCAGAAAGCCACGGCUAACUACGUGCCAGCAGCCGCGGUAAUACGUAGGUGGCAAGCGUUGUCCGGAAUUAUUGGGCGUAAAGGGCUCGCAGGCGGUUUCUUAAGUCUGAUGUGAAAGCCCCCGGCUCAACCGGGGAGGUCAUUGGAAACUGGGGAACUUGAGUGCAAAAAGGGAGUGAUUCCCGUGUAGCGGUGAAAUGCGUAAAGAUGUGGAGGACCCAGUGCGAGCACUCUCUGUCUGUACUGACGUGAGAGAAGCUGGGGAGCGACGGAUUAAUAC
rnacentral:rRNA from 1 species